rnacentral:rRNA from 1 species
CAGUCGCCGCGGGAAUACAGAGGGUGCGAGCGUUAAUCGGAUUUACUGGGCGUAAAGCGUGCGUAGGCGGCUUUUUAAGUCGGAUGUGAAAUCCCUGAGCUUAACUUAGGAAUUGCAUUCGAUACUGGGAAGCUAGAGUAUGGGAGAGGAUGGUAGAAUUCCAGGUGUAGCGGUGAAAUGCGUAGAUAUAGGAAGGAACAUCAGUGGCGAAAGCGGCUCACUGGACCAUAACUGACGCUGAUGCACGAAAGCUAGGGGAGCAAACAGGAUUAGAUACCCCAGUAGUCCCUGUCUCUUAUAA